GGGUAGGUGACAGAGCGGUUAAAUGUACCGGACUGUAAAUUCGGCGCCCCUCGCGGCUACGCUGGUUCGAAUCCAGCCCUGCCCA
rnacentral:tRNA from 1 species